GUGCUCGCUUCAGCAACACAUAUACUAAAAUUGGAACAAUACAGAGAAGUUUAGCAUGGCCCCUGCGCAAGGAUGACAGGCAAAUUCGUGAAGCGUUCCAUAUUUUA
rnacentral:snRNA from 1 species